ACGGGUGAGUAAUAUAUCGGAACGUGCCCAGUCGUGGGGGAUAACUGCUCGAAAGAGCAGCUAAUACCGCAUACGACCUGAGGGUGAAAGCGGGGGAUCGCAAGACCUCGCGCGAUUGGAGCGGCCGAUAUCAGAUUAGGUAGUUGGUGGGGUAAAAGCCCACCAAGCCAACGAUCUGUAGCUGGUCUGAGAGGACGACCAGCCACACUGGGACUGAGACACGGCCCAGACUCCUACGGGAGGCAGCAGUGGGGAAUUUUGGACAAUGGGCGCAAGCCUGAUCCAGCCAUGCCGCGUGCGGGAAGAAGGCCUUCGGGUUGUAAACCGCUUUUGUCAGGGAAGAAAAGGUUCUGGUUAAUACCUGGGACUCAUGACGGUACCUGAAGAAUAAGCACCGGCUAACUACGUGCCAGCAGCCGCGGUAAUACGUAGGGUGCAAGCGUUAAUCGGAAUUACUGGGCGUAAAGCGUGCGCAGGCGGUUAUGCAAGACAGAUGUGAAAUCCCCGGGCUCAACCUGGGAACUGCAUUUGUGACUGCAUGGCUAGAGUACGGUAGAGGGGGAUGGAAUUCCGCGUGUAGCAGUGAAAUGCGU
rnacentral:rRNA from 1 species